UUGAUGGACUUGCUGAUGGGUCAAUGAGA
rnacentral:piRNA from 1 species